GGAUGAACGCUGGCGGCGUGCUUAACACAUGCAAGUCGAACGAACCUUCGGGUUAGUGGCGGACGGGUGAGUAACGCGUGAGAAUCUGCCCUCAGGAGGGGGACAACAGCUGGAAACGGCUGCUAAUACCCCAUAUGCCGCGAGGUGAAAUGAAUUUCGCCUGAGGAUGAGCUCGCGUCUGAUUAGCUAGUUGGUGUAGGUAAUGGCUCACCAAGGCAUCGAUCAGUAGCUGGUCUGAGAGGAUGAUCAGCCACACUGGGACUGAGACACGGCCCAGACUCCUACGGGAGGCAGCAGUGGGGAAUUUUCCGCAAUGGGCGAAAGCCUGACGGAGCAACGCCGCGUGAGGGAUGAAGGCCUCUGGGCUGUAAACCUCUUUUAUCAAGGAAGAAGAUCUGACGGUACUUGAUGAAUAAGCCACGGCUAAUUCCGUGCCAGCAGCCGCGGUAAUACGGGAGUGGCAAGCGUUAUCCGGAAUUAUUGGGCGUAAAGCGUCCGCAGGCGGCCCUUCAAGUCUGCUGUUAAAAAGUGGAGCUUAACUCCAUCAUGGCAGUGGAAACUGUUGGGCUUGAGUGUGGUAGGGGCAGAGGGAAUUCCCGGUGUAGCGGUGAAAUGCGUAUAUAUCGGGAAGAACACCAGUGGCGAAAGGCGCUCUGCUGGGCCAUCACUGACGCUCAUGGGACGAAAGCCAGGGGAGCGAAAGGGAUUAGAUACCCCUGUAGUCCUGGCCGUAAACGAUGAACACUAGGUGUCGGGGGGAAUCGACCCCCUCGGUGUCGUAGCCAACGCGUUAAGUGUUCCGCCUGGGGAGUACGCACGCAAGUGUGAAACUCAAAGGAAUUGACGGGGGCCCGCACAAGCGGUGGAGUAUGUGGUUUAAUUCGAUGCAACGCGAAGAACCUUACCAGGGUUUGACAUCCUGCGAAUCUCUUGGAAACAGGAGAGUGCCUUCGGGAACGCAGUGACAGGUGGUGCAUGGCUGUCGUCAGCUCGUGUCGUGAGAUGUUGGGUUAAGUCCCGCAACGAGCGCAACCCACGUCUUUAGUUGCCAGCAUUUAGUUGGGCACUCUAGAGAGACUGCCGGUGAUAAACCGGAGGAAGGUGUGGAUGACGUCAAGUCAUCAUGCCCCUUACAUCCUGGGCUACACACGUACUACAAUGCUACGGACAAAGGGCAGCAAGUUCGCGAGGACAAGCAAAUCCCAUAAACCGUGGCUCAGUUCAGAUCGUAGGCUGCAACUCGCCUACGUGAAGGCGGAAUCGCUAGUAAUCGCAGGUCAGCAUACUGCGGUGAAUACGUUCCCGGGCCUUGUACACACCGCCCGUCACACCAUGGAAGUUGGCCACGCCCGAAGCCGUUACUCCAACCCUUGUGGAGGAGGACGUCGAAGGUGGGGCUGAUGACUGGGGU
rnacentral:rRNA from 1 species